UACGAAGGGGGCUAGCGUUGCUCGGAAUCACUGGGCGUAAAGCGCACGUAGGCGGCUUUCUAAGUCAGGGGUGAAAUCCUGGAGCUCAACUCCAGAACUGCCUUUGAUACUGGAGAGCUUGAGUCCGGGAGAGGUGAGUGGAACUCCGAGUGUAGAGGUGAAAUUCGUAGAUAUUCGGAAGAACACCAGUGGCGAAGGCGGCUCACUGGCCCAGUACUGACGCUGAGGUGCGAAAGCGUGGGGAGCAAACAGG
rnacentral:rRNA from 1 species